rnacentral:rRNA from 1 species
GCGUGUGAGAAGGCUUGGUCGUAACCGUGGGAGAGACGUCCACAGAAGCCACGGUAACUCUGCCACGCCCGUACAGUGGCAGCUUACCGGAAUUAUUGGGCGUAGCGUAGGUUUAAGUCGGUGAAAGCCCCGCUACCGGAGGGCACUGAACUGAGUGCGAGGAGUGGAAUCCGUGUACGGUAAAUGCGCAAGAUGGAGAACACCAUGCAAGGUCUGCCGUGGGGAUCAAACAGGAUUAGAUACCCUGGUAGUCCACGCCGUAACGAUGUGCUAAUGUUUGUCAUAACGCAUUAAGACGCCUGGGGUCGACCGCAAGGUAAAAAGGAUGACGGGCGCAAGCGGUGGAUGGGUUAAUUCAACAGAACUCACUGACGUGCGGUGAUGC